UCCGAUGACCAAAUCACAAGGAACGCGAAACCGAAUCUCAUCGGAUCCCAGAAGCUAAGCAGAUUUGAGCCUGGACAGUGCUUGGAUGGGCGAUCACCGCACCACGAAACAGGUGCUGUAGGCU
rnacentral:rRNA from 1 species